rnacentral:RNase_P_RNA from 1 species
CCAGCUGGCCGGGCAGCCGCGCAUGUCAAAAGCCGAAAGGCGGCAUGUGAGGAAAGUCCGGGCUCCAGGGAAACACGGUGCCGGAUAACAUCCGGCGGGGGCGACCCCAGGGAAAGUGCCACAGAAAGGAAACCGCCCCGCCUGUAUUUCGGCUGCGACCGCGCAAAGCGGUCCGAGCCCAAAUACUGGCGGGGUAAGGGUGAAAGGGUGGGGUAAGAGCCCACCGCGCAACUGGUAACAGGGGCGGCAUGGCAAACCCCACCGGGAGCAAAACCGAAUAGGGACGGCGUGCCGGGCGCAAGCCUGGCGAUCAGUUUCCGGGUCAGUCGUCCGGGUGGGUUGCAGGAGGCGGGCGGCAACGUCCGUCCAAGAUGAAUGGCUGCCGCGUCGGGCGCGAGCCCGGCCAUACAGAACCCGGCUUACAGGCCAGCUGGCACU